rnacentral:rRNA from 1 species
AUUGAACGCUGGCGGCAGGCCUAACACAUGCAAGUCGAGCGGAUGGAGGGAGCUUGCUCCUGGAUUCAGCGGCGGACGGGUGAGUAAUGCCUAGGAAUCUGCCUGGUAGUGGGGGAUAACGUCCGGAAACGGGCGCUAAUACCGCAUACGUCCUGAGGGAGAAAGUGGGGGAUCUUCGGACCUCACGCUAUCUGAUGAGCCUAGGUCGGAUUAGCUAGUUGGUGAGGUAAAGGCCUACCAAGGCGACGAUCCGUAACUGGUCUGAGAGGAUGAUCAGUCACACUGGAACUGAGACACGGUCCAGACUCCUACGGGAGGCAGCAGUGGGGAAUAUUGGACAAUGGGCGAAAGCCUGAUCCAGCCAUGCCGCGUGUGUGAAGAAGGUCUUCGGAUUGUAAAGCACUUUAAGUUGGGAGGAAGGGCAGUAAGUUAAUACCUUGCUGUUUUGACGUUACCAACAGAAUAAGCACCGGCUAACUUCGUG